rnacentral:misc_RNA from 1 species
UUUGGUUUGUUACGUGUGGUUGGCUGCGGCGUUUGCAACAACUUCCAUGCUUUCAGACCUCUUCAGUUGUGCGGCAAGGCUUGUAUCGCCUUGAGCGUGCUGUGGGUUUUCUGUGUUGGCUACCUAAUCAAUGGUAUCGGUUGGAUUGAUCAAAGUUUGAUUUCGUCUUCCGUCGCAUUCGCGGCGUGAGGUGAACCCUGAUGCGGUCUCUUUGAUCCACCUAGUCGAAGCACAUGCUUCGACGUNGNGGCACAUUGAGCAUUGCUUGGUCUCUUGUAUACGGAACAUAUAGUGGGCAUGGAUCUAACGAUUCUCAUUUGCCCUCAUGUUAGCGUAACGCUUCUCAAACACGACUUGUGCCACGUUUUAG